rnacentral:rRNA from 1 species
GACGAACGCUGGCGGCGUGCCUAAUACAUGCAAGUUGAGCGCUGAAGGUUGGUACUUGUACCAACUGGAUGAGCAGCGAACGGGUGAGUAACGCGUGGGGAAUCUGCCUUUGAGCGGGGGACAACAUUUGGAAACGAAUGCUAAUACCGCAUAAAAACUUUAAACACAAGUUUUAAGUUUGAAAGAUGCAAUUGCAUCACUCAAAGAUGAUCCCGCGUUGUAUUAGCUAGUUGGUGAGGUAAAGGCUCACCAAGGCGAUGAUACAUAGCCGACCUGAGAGGGUGGUCGGCCACAAUGGGACUGAGACACGGCCCAAACUCCUACGGGAGGCAGCAGGAGGGAAUCUUCGGCAAUGGACGAAAGUCUGACCGGGCAACGCCGCGUGAGUGAAGAAGGUUUUCGGAUCGUAAAACUCUGUUGGUAGGGAAGAACGUUGGUGAGAGUGGAAAGCUCAUCAAGUGACGGUAACUACCCAGAAAGGGACGGCUAACUACGUG